rfam:Salmo salar isolate Sally breed double haploid chromosome ssa14, whole genome shotgun sequence.
UGCAUUCACUACUUUAAGUCGCUCUGGAUAAGAGCGUCUGCUAAAUGUAAUGUA